UACAGAGGGUGCGAGCGUUGUCCGGAAUCACUGGGCGUAAAGGGCGCGUAGGUGGCUUGGUAAGCGUGUGGUGAAAGUCCGGGGCUCAACCCCGGAUCUGCCAUGCGAACUGCCGAGCUCGAGCAUUGUAGAGGCAGGUGGAAUUUCGGGUGUAGCGGUGGAAUGCGUAGAUAUCCGAAAGAACACCGGUGGCGAAGGCGGCCUGCUGGGCAAUUGCUGACACUGAGGCGCGACAGCGUGGGGAGCAAACAGGAUUAGAUACCCUGGUAGUCCACGCCGUAAACGAUGGGUACUAGGUGUCUGGGGGAGCGACCCCCUGGGUGCCGUCGCUAACGCAUGAAGUACCCCGCCUGGGGAGUACGGCCGCAAGGCUGAA
rnacentral:rRNA from 1 species